GACGUAGGAUGCAAGCGUUGUCCGGAAUUAUUGGGCGUAAAGAGUUCGUAGGCGGUAUGUCAAGUCUGGUGUUAAAGACUGGGGCUCAACCCCAGAAGGGCACUGGAUACUGGCAAACUGGAGUGCAGAAGAGGCAAGGGGAAUUCCCAGUGUAGCGGUGAAAUGCGUAGAUAUUGGGAGGAACACCAGUGGCGUAAGCGCCUUGCUGGUCUGUUACUGACGCUGAGGAACGAAAGCCAGGGGAGCAAAUGGG
rnacentral:rRNA from 1 species